rnacentral:rRNA from 1 species
AUGACGGCGGCCUCGAGGCUGUCCUACAGGAACGCCACCGUCGCCCUGUGCGCCAUCAAUGUCCUCGCGGUGGCGCUCCUCCUCCGCAGCCACUUCUCGUCCUGGCCGCGGAUCGCCGGCGGCCACCGGUUCGAUUCAGCUCAGCUACGGUACAUAUGGGAGUCUGAAGAGUUGCGCCGUGCUAUGGAGCCUGUGGAUUUGAUUAGGAGAGUGAAGGAAAUUGAGCAAGAAGCUUAUGGAGAGCCUGGCAUGUCAACAACGCAAGAAGGGACGGCUGCUGUUGACUUAUCGAAAAGGUUGAAAGAUUUACGGCAAGGGAAUGACGGCAGCAGCCAAAGAGCCCUGGAGGAGUGGCGCAAGCGGAAGAUGGAGCGGGCGAGGCAGCGGGCGAUCGAGAAGGACGGGAUGAUGCCCGGUGCAAAAACACCUUGA